GACGAACGCUGGCGGCGUGCUUAACACAUGCAAGUCGAACGGUGAAGCGCCUUCCUUUUUGGUGGGUGUGGAUGAGUGGCGAACGGGUGAGUAACACGUGAGUAACCUGCCCCCUUCUUCUGGAUAACCGCAUGAAAGUGUGGCUAAUACGGGAUAUUCUGGGUCUGUCGCAUGAUGGGUCUGGGAAAGAUCUUGUUUCGGUGGGGGAUGGGCUCGCGGCCUAUCAGCUUGUUGGUGGGGUGAUGGCCUACCAAGGCGGUGACGGGUAGCCGGCCUGAGAGGGUGGACGGACACACUGGGACUGAGACACGGCCCAGACUCCUAAGGGAGGCAGCAGUGGGGAAUAUUGCACAAUGGGCGCAAGCCUGAUGCAGCGACGCCGCGUGAGGGAUGGAGGCCUUCGGGUUGUGAACCUCUUUCGCCAGUGAAGCAGGCCUGCCUCGUUUGUGGGUGGGUUGACGGUAGCUGGAGAAGAAGCGCCGGCUAACUACGU
rnacentral:rRNA from 1 species